rnacentral:rRNA from 1 species
GGUGAACGCUGGCGGUAUGCCUAACACAUGCAAGUCGAACGCCAGCACAGUAAGCUCUUUCUCUUACGGUUGGCUACUGACGGAUGGGUGACGCAUACAUCACCUUCUACUUUUUCGUGGGUGAUUACUUAGGAAGACUUACGCUAAUACCGCAUACGAGCUACGGGUUAACGCAGGGGUUCUUCGGACCUUUCGCGCUCGAAUGAGCCGAUGUCGGAUUAGCUAGUUGGCGGGGUAAGGGCCCACCAAGGCGAGGAUCCGUAGCUGGUCUGAGAGGAUGGUCGGCAAAACUGGAACUGAGAAACGGUCCAGACUCCUACGGGAGGAAGCAGAGGGGAAUAUUGGAAAAGGGGCGAAAGCCUGAUCCAGCAAGACCGCGGGGGGGAGGAAGGCCUUGGGGUGGUAAAGCCAUUUUGUUGGGAAAGGAAAGCAGCAGGGUAAAAACCCGAUGUUCUGACGGUACCCAAAGAAUAAGCACCGGCUAACUUCGUG